AGCUUUGUGCAGUGGCGGUAUCAAAGCCAAUGAGGUUUAUCCGAGGCCGAUGACUGCUAAUUGAAAAACUCCUGCCCUCUUGGAGAUGAUACUCUAGUCAGAUACAGAUAGAUAGACAAUUUAAAAAACUAAAUAAA